CACAAACUCUCAAUCACAACAAGCACAUCCUGCAAGAACUACUCAGAGCUGUUGAAGAGUAAGGUCUUUUUUUUGCUGCCUUGAUGUCAACCUCAUUUUUGGAAACUCAAGAAAUGCUCUCCUUGAUGUGUGGUUCUGUUUGUGAUGGUUUUUAUCCAGUCAAGGUAUGCAUUCCAGUGUGGAGGGAACACGAUGGGCUCCACACAUCCCCAGAGCAGCCCAGAGUGUCUUCAACACAGCCUGCUAAAAGGGGAGUGCGGUGGACAGCGGUCAAUACUCUGUCACACAUGUCCACAAGGAGCACUUUGCUUCUUUAUCCACUGCUGAAAUACAAGAGAGCAAAGAAGGUUGGUUUCAUCUUACAGCGGAUGUUAACUAUUAUAGGUUUCAGAAUUAUGAGCAAGUGACUAGAUUUGAAUAUUUGAUCUCCUACUCAUUAGGUUAAGAGGGGAAAUGCAAACAGUUGAGUUCAGCGCAUUCAGAUGCUUUUUGGCAAAUCAUUUCGUAAAGCUCAUCUCCUUGAGCUACACCCUACGGAGGUAUUACCUCAUCCUCCGCCAAGCGAUUUCAGAGCUUAGGAAGGCAUUGACAGAGUGAGGUGCCAUGGCAGCCCGACCAAAGAGAGAUGGCAUGCUCUUAAAGUUCAUUGACUGCAUUCAGGACCAGUGAGAUGAAGCAGACAAGGCUCGAGAAAACUAAAGAGGAUUAUGAUCAUUCCUGAAUAGUGAACAUUUGUUUGAGGAUGAUGAUGAGCAGUGUCACAGAGGGCUUUAUUUCUAAUAACAUAAUUGCUUUUUCAUCAAUUUGUGUUAUUUGAACGGACAACAGCCACACAUAUACGUGUCCUUGGUUGUAUUCGUUAUAUUACUCCACAAGGGAUUGCCGUUGACUGGGGAUAAUACUGGAUUCCACGAAGCAGGCAAUGGUCACCCCAGACUGGAGAAACAUAUUGUUACAAAACACUUUGAAAAUGUUAAAAUCUAAAAUGAAUUUACAGAUAUGUAUCCAGCUGUUCUGCACUUUCUAUAAAACAUUGAAAGAAAAUAAAUAAUAAUCCAAACUCGAUUAUAUUAGUUUUGUGA